CGAUAGCUAAUACCGCAUAACAAUAGAGAUUGCAUAAUCUUUAUUUGAAAAGUGCCAACUGGUACACUAUGAGAUGGGACCCGCGUUGUAUUAGCUAGUUGGUAGUGUAAUGGACUACCAAGGCGAUGAUACAUAGCCGACCUGAGAGGGUGAUCGGCCACAUUGGGACUGAGACACGACCCAAACUCCUACGGGAGGCAGCAGUAGGGAAUCUUCGGCAAUGGACGAAAAGUCUGACCGAGCAACGCCGCGUGAGUGAAGAAGGUUUUCGGAUCGUAAAACUCUGUUGUUAGAGAAGAAUGUUGAUUAGAGUGGAAAAUUAAUCAAGUGACGGUAUCUAACCAGAAAGGGACGGCUAACUACGUG
rnacentral:rRNA from 1 species